UUACCAUGCAGUCGAGCGGUAAGGCCCUUCGGGGUACACGAGCGGCGAACGGGUGAGUAACACGUGGGUGAUCUGCCCUGCACUUCGGGAUAAGCCUGGGAAACUGGGUCUAAUACCGGAUAUGACCUCCGAUCGCAUGGUUGGUGGUGGAAAGAUUUAUCGGUGCAGGAUGGGCCCGCGGCCUAUCAGCUUGUUGGUGGGGUAAUGGCCUACCAAGGCGACGACGGGUAGCCGACCUGAGAGGGUGACCGGCCACACUGGGACUGAGACACGGCCCAGACUCCUACGGGAGGCAGCAGUGGGGAAUAUUGCACAAUGGGCGAAAGCCUGAUGCAGCGACGCCGCGUGAGGGACGACGGCCUUCGGGUUGUAAACCUCUUUCAGCAGGGACGAAGCGCAAGUGACGGUACCUGCAGAAGAAGCACCGGCUAACUACGUGCCAGCAGCCGCGGUAAUACGUAGGGUGCAAGCGUUGUCCGGAAUUACUGGGCGUAAAGAGUUCGUAGGCGGUUUGUCACGUCGUUUGUGAAAACUCACAGCUCAACUGUGAGCCUGCAGGCGAUACGGGCAGACUUGAGUACUGCAGGGGAGACUGGAAUUCCUGGUGUAGCGGUGAAAUGCGCAGAUAUCAGGAGGAACACCGGUGGCGAAGGCGGGUCUCUGGGCAGUAACUGACGCUGAGGAACGAAAGCGUGGGUAGCGAACAGGAUUAGAUACCCUGGUAGUCCACGCCGUAAACGGUGGGCGCUAGGUGUGGGUUCCUUCCACGGAAUCCGUGCCGUAGCUAACGCAUUAAGCGCCCCGCCUGGGGAGUACGGCCGCAAGGCUA
rnacentral:rRNA from 1 species